rnacentral:rRNA from 1 species
CGGGAAAAGCUCAAAUUUAAAAUCUGGUGGUCUUUGGCCGUCCGAGUUGUAAUUUAGAGAAGCGUCUUCCGCGCUGGACCGUGUACAAGUCUCCUGGAAUGGAGCGUCAUAGAGGGUGAGAAUCCCGUCUUUGACACGGACCCCAGGGCUUCUGUGAUGCGCUCUCGA